UAGGCGGAAUGUUGCGUUAAAGGAAAGGUCGUUCGUGUCUCGCCCACCCGUUUGAUUGUGCCUAACAGCGUCUUGAAUUAUUCGCGCUCGUUGAGUACUUUACUUCUUUCGGGUUGUAAACGCUCAACACACGGUUCCAUGGAGGGUGCAAGUCCCGUAUGGCCGCGGUUGAGUGGGCGAAGGCUAGACCUCUUUUCCUGGAGAGUCGCGUUGCUUGAACAUGCAGCGCUAAGCAGGAGGUAAACUCCUCCUAAGGCUAAAUAUGUCCACAGAACCGAUAGCUAACAAGUACCGCGAGGGAAAGUUGAAAAGUACUCUGGAGAGAGGGUGCAAAGACCGU
rnacentral:rRNA from 1 species